CCUACGGGUGGCAGCAGUGAGGAAUAUUGGUCAAUGGGCGCGAGCCUGAACCAGCCAAGUAGCGUGAAGGAUGACUGCCCUACGGGUUGUAAACUUCUUUUAUAAAGGAAUAAAGUGUGGCACGUGUGCCUUCUUGUAUGUACUUUAUGAAUAAGGAUCGGCUAACUCCGUGCCAGCAGCCGCGGUAAUACGGGGGAGGCGGGCGUUAUCCGGAUUUAUUGGGUUAAAAGGGUGCGUCGGCGGGCGUUUAGGUUAGCGGGAAAAAUUCGGGGCUCAACCCCGUCCGGCCGGUGAUACUGGGAGCCUUGAGUGGGCGAGAGGAAGGCGGAAUGCGUGGUGUAGCGGUGAAAUGCAUAGAUAUCACGCAGAACACCGAUUGCGAAGGCAGCCUUCCGGAGCACGACUGACGCUGAGGCGCGAAAGUGCGGGGAGCGAACAGGAUUAGAUACCCUUGUAGUC
rnacentral:rRNA from 1 species